ensembl:misc_RNA Metazoa_SRP Metazoan signal recognition particle RNA
GCCAGGCAUGUUGGCACGUGCCUAUAAUCCAAGCUACUCAGGAGGCUGAGGCAGGAGAAUCGCUUGAACCCGGGAGGUGGAGGUUGCAGUGAGCCAAGAUCAUGACACUGCACUUCAGCCUGGGUGACAGAGUGAGACCCUGUCUCAA